UUCUUAUCAAGAGAGGUUGAGGGACUGGCCCUAUGACACCUCGGCAGCGGAGCUUUACUGAUUCUGUGCCAAAUCCAGCAAGUAAAACUUGAGAGAUAAGAA
rnacentral:ncRNA from 2 species